UUUUCCAGCCAAUUGGCCAGUUCUUUCACUCCAAUUUAGCCAUGGGUGGGUUUAAAAUUGAAUUUCGUGUAAAAAGAAAAUUUUUUACCGUUUUGGGCAGUCGGAAAGGGUUCCAGUGCGGCGGCGGGUGGCGGCGGUCGGCUCCCCGGCGACUGGGUUGUCUUCUCCGGUGAGGGUUUCGGGCAGCUAGGGUUAGGGUUUGGGUGCGAAUGGGGUUAUUUAUAC
rnacentral:lncRNA from 1 species